CCUACGGGAGGCAGCAGUGAGGAAUAUUGGUCAAUGGACGCAAGUCUGAACCAGCCAUGCCGCGUGCAGGAAGACGGCUCUAUGAGUUGUAAACUGCUUUUGUACGAGGGUAAACGCAGAUACGCGUAUCUGUCUGAAAGUAUCGUACGAAUAAGGAUCGGCUAACUCCGUGCCAGCAGCCGCGGUAAUACGGAGGAUUCAAGCGUUAUCCGGAUUUAUUGGGGUUAAAGGGUGCGUAGGCGGUCGGAUAAGUUAGGGGUGAAAUCCCGAGGCUCAACUUCGGAAUUGCCUCGGAUACUGUGCGGCUAGAGAGUAGUUGCGGUAGGCGGAAUGUAUGGUGUAGCGGUGAAAUGCUUAGAGAUCAUACAGAACACCGAUUGCGAAGGCAGCUUACCAGGCUACUUCUGACGUUGAGGCACGAAAGCGUGGGGAGCAAACAGGAUUAGAUACCCCUGUAGUC
rnacentral:rRNA from 1 species